GGAGGAAAGUAGGGGAUCGUAAGACCUUGCGCUUUUGGAGUGGCCGAUGCCUGAUUAGCUAGUUGGUGGGGUAAGAGCCUACCAAGGCGACGAUCAGUAGUUGGUCUGAGAGGACGACCAGCCACACUGGGACUGAGACACGGCCCAGACUCCUACGGGAGGCAGCAGUGGGGAAUUUUGGACAAUGGGCGAAAGCCUGAUCCAGCAAUGCCGCGUGAGUGAAGAAGGCCUUCGGGUUGUAAAGCUCUUUCAGCCGAGAAGAAAAGGUCGCGACUAAUAAUCGCGACUCAUGACGGUAUCGACAGAAGAAGCACCGGCUAACUACGUGCCAGCAGCCGCGGUAAUACGUAGGGUGCGAGCGUUAAUCGGAAUUACUGGGCGUAAAGGGUGCGCAGGCGGCUUUGUAAGUCAGAUGUGAAAUCCCCGGGCUUAACCUGGGAAUUGCGUUUGAAACUACAAGGCUAGA
rnacentral:rRNA from 1 species